GGCUAUAGCUUAGUGGUAGAGUAUAUUCUUGGCAUGCAAAAGGUUCUCGGUUCAAGUCCUCGGAUCUCCA